GACCUGAUAGCACAAUGUCGAGUGCGUCUGCUUCAUGUCGUGUAUAUUUGCUUUCAACAUUCAAGCAGGAGACCCCGGUUCGAUUCCGGGUCAGGUCA